rnacentral:rRNA from 1 species
UACGGAGGGGGCUAGCGUUGUUCGGAAUUACUGGGCGUAAAGCGCACGUAGGCGGAUGUGUCAGUCGGGGGUGAAAGCCCAGGGCUCAACCUUGGAACUGCCUUUGAUACUGACUGUCUUGAGUUCGGGAGAGGUGAGUGGAAUGCCGAGUGUAGAGGUGAAAUUCGUAGAUAUUCGGCGGAACACCAGUGGCGAAGGCGACUCACUGGCCCGAUACUGACGCUGAGGCACGAAAGCGUGGGGAGCAAACAGG